AAUGCUCGUGUUACUUAUAUUUAGGUGCACGUUAAAUAAACCCACGUGGCCAAAAUUAUUCUGGACUUCCCCCGCGAC
rnacentral:lncRNA from 1 species